rnacentral:rRNA from 1 species
UACGUAGGGUGCAAGCGUUAAUCGGAAUUACUGGGCGUAAAGCGUGCGCAGGCGGUUAUGCAAGACAGAGGUGAAAUCCCCGGGCUUAACCUGGGAAUGGCAUUGGUGACUGCACGGCUAGAGUGUGUCAGAGGGGGGUAGAAUUCCACGUGUAGCAGUGAAAUGCGUAGAGAUGUGGAGGAAUACCGAUGGCGAAGGCAGCCCCCUGGGAUAACACUGACGCUCAUGCACGAAAGCGUGGGGAGCAAACAGG